AUGCAAGUCGAACGGAAAGGCCCUUCGGGGUACUCGAGUGGCGAACGGGUGAGUAACACGUGGGCAAUCUGCCCUGCACACCGGGAUAAGCCUGGGAAACUGGGUCUAAUACCGGAUAGGACCACUUGGCGCAUGCCUUGUGGUGGAAAGCUUUUGCGGUGUGGGAUGGGCCCGCGGCCUAUCAGCUUGUUGGUGGGGUGACGGCCUACCAAGGCGACGACGGGUAGCCGGCCUGAGAGGGUGUCCGGCCACACUGGGACUGAGAUACGGCCCAGACUCCUACGGGAGGCAGCAGUGGGGAAUAUUGCACAAUGGGCGCAAGCCUGAUGCAGCGACGCCGCGUGGGGGAUGACGGCCUUCGGGUUGUAAACCUCUUUCACCAUCGACGAAGGUCCGGGUUUUCUCGGAUUGACGGUAGGUGGAGAAGAAGCACCGGCCAACUACGUGCCAGCAGCCGCGGUAAUACGUAGGGUGCGAGCGUUGUCCGGAAUUACUGGGCGUAAAGAGCUCGUAGGUGGUUUGUCGCGUUGUUCGUGAAAUCUCACGGCUUAACUGUGAGCGUGCGGGCGAUACGGGCAGACUAGAGUACUGCAGGGGAGACUGGAAUUCCUGGUGUAGCGGUGGAAUGCGCAGAUAUCAGGAGGAACACCGGUGGCGAAGGCGGGUCUCUGGGCAGUAACUGACGCUGAGGAGCGAAAGCGUGGGGAGCGAACAGGAUUAGAUACCCUGGUAGUCCACGCCGUAAACGGUGGGUACUAGGUGUGGGUUUCCUUCCUUGGGAUCCGUGCCGUAGCUAACGCAUUAAGUACCCCGCCUGGGGAGUACGGCCGCAAGGCUAAAACUCAAAGGAAUUGACGGGGGCCCGCACAAGCGGCGGAGCAUGUGGAUUAAUUCGAUGCAACGCGAAGAACCUUACCUGGGUUUGACAUGCACAGGACGCGUCUAGAGAUAGGCGUUCCCUUGUGGCCUGUGUGCAGGUGGUGCAUGGCUGUCGUCAGCUCGUGUCGUGAGAUGUUGGGUUAAGUCCCGCAACGAGCGCAACCCUUGUCUCAUGUUGCCAGCGGGUAAUGCCGGGGACUCGUGAGAGACUGCCGGGGUCAACUCGGAGGAAGGUGGGGAUGACGUCAAGUCAUCAUGCCCCUUAUGUCCAGGGCUUCACACAUGCUACAAUGGCCGGUACAAAGGGCUGCGAUGCCGCGAGGUUAAGCGAAUCCUUUUAAAGCCGGUCUCAGUUCGGAUCGGGGUCUGCAACUCGACCCCGUGAAGUCGGAGUCGCUAGUAAUCGCAGAUCAGCAACGCUGCGGUGAAUACGUUCCCGGGCCUUGUACACACCGCCCGUCACGUCAUGAAAGUCGGUAACACCCGAAGCCAGUGGCCUAACCCU
rnacentral:rRNA from 1 species